rnacentral:tRNA from 2 species
GCAGUCGUGGCCGAGUGUGGUUAAGGCGAUGGACUAAAAAUCCAUUGGGGUCUUCCCGCACAGGUUCGAAUCCUGUCGACUGCA